AACGACUCUCGGCAACGGAUAUCUCGGCUCUCGCAUCGAUGAAGAACGUAGCGAAAUGCGAUACUUGGUGUGAAUUGCAGAAUCCCGUGAACCAUCGAGUCUUUGAACGCAAGUUGCGCCCGAAGCCUUCGGCCAGGGCACGUCUGCCUGGGCGUCACGC
rnacentral:rRNA from 1 species